GCAGGGGUGGCAGAGCUUGGUCAAAUGCGCUGGCUUGAGGUGCCAGUCUCUUAGGAGUGCCAGGGUUCAAAUCCCUGCCCCUGCA
rnacentral:tRNA from 5 species